rnacentral:rRNA from 1 species
UACGGAGGGAGCUAGCGUUGUUCGGAAUUACUGGGCGUAAAGCGCGCGUAGGCGGCUUUGUAAGUUAGAGGUGAAAGCCCGGGGCUCAACCCCGGAACUGCCUUUAAGACUGCAUCGCUUGAAUCCGGGAGAGGUGAGUGGAAUUCCGAGUGUAGAGGUGAAAUUCGUAGAUAUUCGGAAGAACACCAGUGGCGAAGGCGGCUCACUGGACCGGGUAUUGACGCUGAGGUGCGAAAGCUAGGGGAGCAAACGGG